rnacentral:rRNA from 1 species
UACGGAGGGGGCAAGCGUUAAUCGGAAUUACUGGGCGUAAAGCGUGCGUAGGCGGUUUGUUAAGUCCGUUGUGAAAGCCCCGAGCUCAACUUGGGAAUUGCAGUGGAUACUGGCAGGCUGGAGUACGGUAGAGGAAGGUGGAAUUCCCGGUGUAGCAGUGAAAUGCGUAGAGAUCGGGAGGAACACCAGUGGCGAAGGCGGCCUUCUGGACCAGUACUGACGCUCAUGCACGAAAGCGUGGGGAGCAAACAGG